rnacentral:rRNA from 1 species
GAAUAUUGGACAAUGGGGGGAACCCUGAUCCAGCCAUGCCGCGUGUGUGAAGAAGGCCGGUUGGUUGUGAAGCACUUUAAGCGAGGGGGAGGCGACUCUAGGUAGUACGUAGAGAUGGUGGACGUUACUCGCAGAGUAAGCACCGGCUAACUCUGUGCCAGCAGCCGCGGUAAUACAGAGGGUGCAAGCGUUAAUCGGAUUUACUGGGCGUAAAGCGCGCGUAGGUGGCCAAUUAAGUCAAAUGUGAAAUCCCCGAGCUUAACUUGGGAAUUGCAUUCGAUACUGGUUGGCUAGAGUAUGGGAGAGGAUGGUAGAAUUCCAGGUGUAGCGGUGAAAUGCGUAGAGAUCUGGAGGAAUACCGAUGGCGAAGGCAGCCAUCUGGCCUAAUACUGACACUGAGGUGCGAAAGCAUGGGGAGCAAACA